AGGAGGGACACUUGGCUGUUUUCUAGACACUGUGCUUUCCAAAUGUGGCUGAAAGUUCAACUCAAUCCAGUUCAAGGCUGCUGAGAGCGCUCCUGGCUCUGUAAAGUGGAUGUCAGGUGGAUCUAUGUUUGUGAAGGAACAAAGACUCAGCGAAGGCACCGCCGAGGAAGUUUGAGACGCGGGAGGAUGCAGGCUGCGUGCUGGUACGUGCUUCUCCUCCUGCAGCCCACCGUCUACUUGGCCAGACAUGACAUCGCAGGGAUCAGUGAAUCAUGGUGGAAAAGGAAUUCGACAGGCUUGAAAACAUCACUAUUUUUCUGGCUUAUUUGAUUUUGAGCAGAAAAACGAACUAAAACAAAAAUGUUUGAUUUUCUAUUUCUCAUACUCUGUGUAUUUGAAUUCAUAAAGCUAUAUUAAAUUAACUAUAAAAGGAAACAAAAUUUUGGCUUUAUGAGACUUAUAAUUUAAGCCAUGGUUGCCCUCUUAUAUCUAUUCAUUUAUUAAAGUCCAGCUUGCUGAAAACAAAGAUUUGCUUUUGAUUUAUAUUUUCAAUUUACUUCCUUGCCAAUGAUUUCUAACUCUCCGUUUGCACCACUGCCCCCCACCACUGUCUAAAUAAACUCUUCAACUCAAACUAUAUUAAAUUGUCAGAAUAGUAGCAGAUUACCAUAGGUAUACUUCCGAACAGUGUACCUCAUGUGUCGAAUAGAGAGGAUCUCUUAUAUCCAUAAAGCUCAAUUGAAUAUUGAUGCUCAGCAGAUGGACCUCUAAAAACAUUUUGUAG
rnacentral:lncRNA from 1 species